rnacentral:tRNA from 1 species
GAUAAAGUGGCUGAUAAAAAGCAAUAAAUUGUAAAUUUAUGAAUAGAUUUUAAUCUCUUUGUCA